rnacentral:lncRNA from 1 species
GAGGUGUACUGGGAGGGGUUAUGGGGGGAUAUGGGGUAUAAUGGAGAGUAUGGGGUGUAGUGGGGGAGUUGGAGGUAUAAUGGAGAGUAUGGGGUGUACUGGGGGGGAUUUGGGGGGAUAUGGGGUAUAAUGGAUGGUAUGGGGUGUACUGGGAGGGGGUCUGGGGGGAUAUGGGGUAUAAUGGAGAGUAUGGGAUGUACUGAGGAGGGAUUAUAGGGUGUCCUGAGGAUACAGGUAGCAGCCACACAAAGCUUUGUGUCUUUGGGAUGCUUUGGAAUCAAUCCCAUAUGUGCAGCCCUGGGGGACCAGGAGGGUUUGGGUCGGGUCCAUCCGCACUGUGCCCCCCCAGGGGCUGAUCCUUGUUAAUCCCACACUGGCCCAGUGCCUGAGCUCAGCACCUUCCCACCGCCCCAUCCCCACUGAUUGGUGCUCGGUGCCUUCAUAAGGGGCACAACAGAACCUGGGCUCAUCCUGAGGCUGUGCUCACCACCUGAGCUCCGUGGGGACCAUGAAGCUCUAUGCAAUGCUGCUGCUGGCAGGGCUGGCCUGCUGCCUGGCUGUGGGCUGUGAGUAGGGCAGCACCCCAAUGGGGCAGGACGUCCCUUAGGGGAUGUAUGUCCCACCUGUGGGGUGGGCUGUCCCCAUACUGGCACCCCACAGCCUGGGCUUGGUGACACUGUGUCUCUUCCAUUUGCAGUGCCCGUCAAUGAGACGCUGCAUGUGGGGCAUGAUCCGAAGGUGACUGUAAGAGCUGCUGAAGGAGCCCUGGUGGAUGUGGCCGACGUGGUGGAAAGCCUCCUGCGCUCCCUUGGGGACACCCUGGCUGGGGCUGUCAGGCUGCUGAUAGGGGGAAAGGCGAGUGAGAGGGGCAAUGAGGUGGGAGGGUUUGGGGGACUGAGGGGCACCCACAGCCCCUCCUGGUUGGGUGGGACCCGUCUCACUUCUCUGCUUCUCUCUCCUAAUAGAAUAACAAGCAGCUGGCGUUGUGAGCACUGCCUUCCCCUAAUGGGGACAUAUGGGGACAUGGUGCUCUGUCUAUGGGCUCUGCUCCAUGCCCAGGUGCCACCAAUGCCACCAGCUCUCCCUGCAGCUCUUGAACACGGCUCCAAAUAAAGCCUUCAAUAAAGCAAAGUGCUGAUUGCUGCCUCUUCUGUCC